GACGAACGCUGGCGGCGUGCUUAACACAUGCAAGUCGAACGGAAAGGCCCUGCUUUUGUGGGGUGCUCGAGUGGCGAACGGGUGAGUAACACGUGAGUAACCUGCCCUUGACUUUGGGAUAACUUCAGGAAACUGGGGCUAAUACCGGAUAGGAGCUCCUGCUGCAUGGUGGGGGUUGGAAAGUUUCGGCGGUUGGGGAUGGACUCGCGGCUUAUCAGCUUGUUGGUGGGGUAGUGGCUUACCAAGGCUUUGACGGGUAGCCGGCCUGAGAGGGUGACCGGCCACAUUGGGACUGAGAUACGGCACAGACUCCUACGGGACGCAGAAGUGGGGAAUAUUGCACAAUGGGCGGAAGCCUGAUGCAGCAACGCCGCGUGGGGGAUGACGGCCUUCGGGUUGUAAACCGCUUUCGCCUGUGACGAAGCGUGAGUGACGGUAAUGGGUAAAGAAGCACCGGCUAACUACGUG
rnacentral:rRNA from 1 species